UCGUAACAAGGUUUCCGUAGGUGAACCUGCGGAAGGAUCAUUAUUG
rnacentral:rRNA from 6 species